rnacentral:rRNA from 1 species
UACAGAGGUCCCAAGCGUUUGUUCGGAUUCAUUGGGCGUAAAGGGUGCGUAGGCGGCGCGGUAAGUCGGGUGUGAAAUCUCGGCAGCUUAACUCCGAAACUGCAUUCGAUACUGCCGUGCUUGGAGGACGUGGGAGAAGGAUGACUGGAAUUUACGGUGUAAGCUGGUGAAAUGCGUAGAUAUCGUGAAGGAAGACCAGUGGAGCGAACGGCGGAGUCUCUGGGCCAUUACUGACGCUGGAGAGCGAAAGCGUGGGGAGCGAACAGG